ACGGGGUGCAGCAGGCGCGAAAACUCCGCAAUGCGCGCAAGCGUGACGGGGGAAUCCCAAGUGCCGUUGGUCUUAUGAUCGACGGUUUUUAGGAAGUCUAAGAAGCUUCCAGAAUAAGGGCUGGGCAAGACUGGUGCCAGCCGCCGCGGUAACACCAGCAGCCCAAGUGGUGACCACGAUUAUUGGGCCUAAAGCGCUCGUAGCCGGAUCAGCAAGUCCCUUGUGAAAUCGGGCCGCCUAACGGUUCGGCGUGCAAGGGAUACUGUUGGUCUUGAGGCCGGGAGAGGUCGGAGGUACUCCUGGGGUAGCGGUGAAAUGCUCUAAUCCUAGGGGGACCACCAGUGGCGAAGGCGUCCGACCAGAGCGGACCUGACGGUGAGGGGCGAAGGCUAGGGGAGCGAACGGGAUUAGAUACCCCGGUAGUCCUAGCUGUAAAGCAUGCGGGCCAGGUGUCUAGCGCUCCUUGAGGGCGCUAGGUGCCGGAGGGAAGCCGUUAAGCCCGCCGCCUGGGAAGUACGGCCGCAAG
rnacentral:rRNA from 1 species